UGGAGCAUGUGGUUUAAUUCGAUGCACGCGAAGAACCUUACCUGGGCUUGACAUCCCGGGAAUCCCCUGGAAACAGGGAGUGCCUUCGGGAACCCGGUGACAGGUGCUGCAUGGCUGUCGUCAGCUCGUGUCGUGAGAUGUUGGGUUAAGUCCCGCAACGAGCGCAACCCUUGUCUUUAAUUGCCAUCAUUUAGUUGGGCACUUUAAAGAGACUGCCGGUGUUAAGCCGGAGGAAGGUGGGAUGACGUCAAGUCCUCAUGGCCUUUAUGCCCAGGGCUACACACGUGCUACAAUGGGCGGUACAAAGAGUUGCGAUACCGCGAGGUGGAGCUAAUCUCAUAAAGCCGGUCUCAGUUCGGAUUGGAGUCUGCAACUCGACUCCAUGAAGUUGGAAUCGCUAGUAAUCGCGGAUCAGCAUGCCGCGGUGAAUAUGUUCCCGGGCCUU
rnacentral:rRNA from 1 species